AUACAAGAAGGCAAUCCACUGGGAAGUUGCAUUCUCCUGACAGUGGACAACAUGUUCUUCCUCAUUAUCUGAGAGCUUCCACUGGUUCUUGCCAUGACUUUUGUAAAUAUGGCAAGAAGCAUUCCUCUGAACCAAAGCCAUGGCAUUCUCUAUCAAAAAGAAAGAACAAACUUCCCGCUGAUGAGCAGAGUCCUGCACAGGCCUUGGUGGGAGAGGCUAAAAAGGGGACUUCGGUCAAGCAGAAGCCUUCCACUCCUCCAGGGAGUGUGCUGGGAGAGAAAAAGAAGGUAACUGGAGUUGACCAAAAACCUUCCACUUCUCCAGGGAGUAUGCUGGGAGAGUCAAAGAAAAGGAUUGUGGUCAAGCAAAACACUUCCACUACUUCAGGGAGUAGCCAGGGAGAGGCAAAG
rnacentral:misc_RNA from 1 species